rnacentral:misc_RNA from 1 species
GAUGAAGAACGAAGCGAAAUGCGAUACUUGGUGUGAAUUGCAGAAUCCCGUGAACCAUCGAGUCUUUGAACGCAAGUUGCGCCCGAAGCCAUUAGGCCGAGGGCACGCCUGCCUGGGCGUCACACGUCGUUGCCCCCCCAUCAACUCCUUCGGGAUUGCGGGGGGCGGAUGAUGGCCUCCCGUGCGCCUCGCCGCGCGGUUGGCAUAAAUGCCAAGUCCUCGGCGACGCACGCCACGACAAUCGGUGGUUGCGAAACCUCGGUUGCCCGUCGUGUGCGGUCGUCGCGCAUCGAGGGCUCGAAAAAAUUGCCGGGUUCCGGCUCGGCUUUCAACGCGACCCCAGGUCAGGCGGGGUUACCCGCUGAAUUUAAGCAUAUCAAUAAGCGGAGGA